UAACUCCUACGGGGCGCAGCAGUGGGGAAUAUUGCACAAUGGGGGAAACCCUGAUGCAGCGACGCCGCGUGAGUGAAGAAGUAUUUCGGUAUGUAAAGCUCUAUCAGCAGGAACGAGACAAGACGGUACCUGACUAAGAAGUCCCGGCUAACUACGUGCUAGCAGCCGCGGUAAUACGUAGGGAGCAAGCGUUGUGCGGAAUUACUGGGCGUAAAGGGCGCGUAGGUGGGCGCUUA
rnacentral:rRNA from 1 species